AGAACUUAGCAGAGAUGCUUUGGUGCCUUCGGGAACUCUGAGACAGGUGCUGCAUGGCUGUCGUCAGCUCGUGUUGUGAAAUGUUGGGUUAAGUCCCGCAACGAGCGCAACCCUUAUCCUUUGUUGCCAGCGGUCCGGCCGGGAACUCAAAGGAGACUGCCAGUGAUAAACUGGAGGAAGGUGGGGAUGACGUCAAGUCAUCAUGGCCCUUACGAGUAGGGCUACACACGUGCUACAAUGGCGCAUACAAAGAGAAGCGACCUCGCGAGAGCAAGCGGACCUCAUAAAGUGCGUCGUAGUCCGGAUUGGAGUCUGCAACUCGACUCCAUGAAGUCGGAAUCGCUAGUAAUCGUGGAUCAGAAUGCCACGGUGAAUACGUUCCCGGGCCUUGUACACACCGCCCGUCACACCAUGGGAGUGGGUUGCAAAAGAAGUAGGUAGCUUAGCCUUCGGGAGGGCGCUUACCACUUUGUGAUUCAUGACUGGGGUGAAGUCGUAACAAGGUAAGCGUAGUGCU
rnacentral:rRNA from 1 species